rnacentral:tRNA from 1 species
GCCCGGGUAGCUCAGGGGCAGAGCGUGGGACUGAAAAUCCCGAGGUCAGCGGUUCAAACCCGCUCCCGAGCA